rnacentral:rRNA from 1 species
GAUGAACGCUGGCGGCGUGCCUAAUACAUGCAAGUCGAGCGAACAGACGAGGAGCUUGCUCCUUUGACGUUAGCGGCGGACGGGUGAGUAACACGUAGGUAACCUACCUAUAAGACUGGGAUAACUUCGGGAAACCGGAGCUAAUACCGGAUAAUAUUUCGAACCGCAUGGUUCGAUAGUGAAAGAUGGCUUUGCUAUCACUUAUAGAUGGACCUGCGCCGUAUUAGCUAGUUGGUAAGGUAACGGCUUACCAAGGCAACGAUACGUAGCCGACCUGAGAGGUGGAUCGGCCACACUGGAACUGAGACACGGUCCAGACUCCGAAAGGAGGCAGCAGUAGGGAAUCUUCCGCAAUGGGCGAAAGCCUGACGGAGCAACGCCGCGUGAGUGAUGAUGGUCUUCGGAUCGUAAAACUCUGUUAUUAGGGAAGAACAAACGUGUAAGUAACUGUGCACGUCUUGACGGUACCUAAUCAGAAAGCCACGGCUAACUACGUG